rnacentral:lncRNA from 1 species
UCUCUAGUUCAAGAGUAAAUUUUCACAAGAUUCAUCUUAUUGGCAUAAAUGAUUGUAGAGAACGGUUAAGUGAGGCGACAAAGGUGUUAAAUUGUAAAGUGUGGGAUAUUCCUUUUGUGUAUUUAAAUUUACAACAACCCUUGAAAAUGAAAAACUUGGGAGCGCGUUGUGAAUAAUGUGAGAAAUAGAUUUUAUCAUUUUGGUUGAGAAACAAUUUAUUGAUGGGAGGUUGUAUUGUUUUAGUCUUUUUGAAACUAGUGGAAAUAUUACUACAUCACACCCUUUUGUCCAAAAAAGUUAAAUCACACCCAUUUCUUAGUUCUCCGUCAUAACUCAUUUUGAUGGCAAGACAUUUAUUCCCUCUCCUCCCCAAAAGCUUGAAGACUUCUCAUGUUUCAUUAAUGGUUUCAUCUUCCAUUUUUCUCAUCAAAAUCUUGUCAUCCUUAUGAUGAGAUAUGAUUUGUGCUACCAACAUAGAAGUUGAUCUAUUUGUUUUGUAUAUGGUAAAUUUAUUGUUGUGAAGUUUGGUCGAUUUUUGUGGAAGGUUCAAUUAUGUUGGAAUUUUGUUGAAUUUUUGAUGAUUUUUUAUCAUCUUAUUUGUUUAUUGUUCAUUCAGUAUUGGAUUUCUUGAUUUUAUUGAAAAUUUAAUCUAUGUUGAUUGUUUUUUAAGAUUUGUAUUUGACAUUUAUAGAUUUGCUUGCUUCAAGACCGCAAUAAACCGACCGUAUGAUGUUCACCACCAAAACUGCCACCUGAACAAACUUUUGUCUCAAACGAAAGGUGAUGGUCCUCUAUAUGUCACCUGCAGUUUGUUGUGAGUUGAGUGUCUGAGCCUGUAAUCGAUCAAUUGUCAACCCCUAUAUGUGACACAAUGUGAUUGAAUAAUGAUGGUGAU